rnacentral:lncRNA from 1 species
AAAAGAAAUGUUCAAAUAAACAAAAUUCCUAAACUAUCCACCUAAACCCUUAAACUUUCCCAGUGAUUUCCUGCAUCGAGGCCAACUUCGAUGACUGGUUGCCUUCAAGAUUUUCUCUUCCUUUCGUUUUUGUCUUGUACCAGCCUCUCAAAACUCAAAGCUUCCUCGGAGGUCCACUCCCCUACCAUUUCCUCCGGUCUCAGCAACACAAUUACUCUUUAACUUCUAUGGCAUUUAUUUUUAUCUACUGUUAUAAGACACUCAAUUUCUGGAGAGACUUCUUCCACCCAGUAAAUCAAAGAGUCAGAUCAUCGUUUCUACACUACCAAUCCAUGCUCUGCUUCAGUUGCCGUUCGGGGAACAUGCCUAAAAGUUAAGGUUUCGAAUAUGGAUAACAUGUCCUUAAUGUCAUUGAUUAUGUUACUUAUGUACGAUCUAUCAUUUCCUUCCAUUCUUAACUUUUUUUUAUCACUGUUAAUGCAUCUCCCUCCACGCAGGCUCUCUUGAAUCCCAGAUCCUCUGCAAAUAUUACCGUUUGUAGACAUGCUUUAGCUUCUGCAGUGGUCGGGUCGUGAAUCUCUCCCAUGGGUAAACACAUGACCUCAUUACUAACCCUUCGUUAUUCCUGAUUAUUACACCUGAUACUCUUUGUUAUGUUUCAACUGGAAAGAAGUAUCAAUGUUUAUCUUGACCUAUUCAUCUUCAGGGGGUUCCCAAACGGUUUCUUCUCUAUUAGUCUUAAUUUCUGAUAGUGUUUCCAGUUGAUUAUAUUCUGUCACGUAUGCCUUGAUAAAACCUACUACAUCCUACACUUUCUCCCUAAUCCCUUCGUGAUAUAGUUUAUUCUUGUUAUACCAUGUAGACACCUAUUUUUUUUCGACCCAUUUGUUCUUUUUAAAUUUUUGUUCUCUCCCCGUUUGAAGCCCACCCAAUUUUCGUUAAUUGGAGGCCUUUUUUUCUUUCUUUUUUUUUUUCCUUUUUGAGUCUGUCAAGGACUCAAACUAUUAUUAUUAUUACUACUACUAUUAUUAUUAUUAAAUAUCUUUUUUAUCUUUUUUUAUUACAAAUAAACAAGAUUAAAAAACAAUAUCUAUAUAUAUAUGAAAUGAAAUAAAACAAAGGGAGAAGGCUUUUCAUAUUCUUUUUUUUUUAAAGGUAAAAGAAAAAAUAACAACAACAAGCAUGCUAUUUCUUUUUCUUUACUUUUUGUCAUAGACAUGUCAUGAGGGAUCGGGUUUUAGGCUCCAAUGAAGGGGACGUCAACGGACCGUCGAUCCUCCGCCCUUAGGAGCCCCAAAAAUCUCUUCUUCUUUUUUCCUUCCCUUUUCUAAAAUAAAGUUUUUUUUUUAAAAAAAGCUUGAUCUUAGGAAAAAUUUUGAUUUUUUUUUAAAAAAGUGAAAGUUUAGUUUUUUAAAAUAAAAAUAUGUUUUUUAGUCAUAUUAAAGGAAAAGUUUAAAUUUUUAAAAUAAAGUUUUGAUCUUUUUCAACUAUUUUGAAAUAAAACUUUGAUUUUUAAAAAAAGUGAUUUUUUUUAAAAGAGAAAUUUUAGAUUUUUAAAAUAAAAAUAUGGUUUUUAGUCAUUUUAAAAGAAAAGUUUAAAAUUUUUAAAACAAAGUUUUGAUUUUUUUUCAACUAUUUCAAAAUAAUGCUUUGAUUUUUAAGAAAAGUAGUGAUUUUUUUAAAAGAAAACUUUGAUUUUGCAAAAAAAUAAAAUAAAAUAAAAUUCCAACCACCGUAUGCGGCGGCUCCACCACAGGAGGCCGAAGAGUCGUUGGACUCUCCGGUGGUGGAACCAUGGCCAACAUAGAAAGAGGAAGAAAAUGAGGAAGAGUUUUUAUUUUUAUUUUUAUUUUUAAAUGAGGUUAAAAAUGAAAUAAUGAAUAAAUUUCUCCUAUUUAUAUGUGCCAAAAUGGAUAAUUUAUUCCCACCCCCUUACUUUUUAAAUUUACAAAAAAUACCCCAUUUUUUGUAGCACACUCUCUGGUCUAUUUACACCCGUAACUCUUUUUGUUUAUUUAAACCUUUAAUUUAAUCCAAAAUUUCAAAAUUAAAAAUAAAUUAAUUGCUACAUCAGUCAUCUAUCUUCCACAUUUUUUAUCUUUUAGUCCCAAAAUCAAGUUAUGCCAUUUUGUUUCCAUCUUUAAUAAAUUAUUUACACUUAUAUCUUCCCUUUCAUUUGCAUUUAUACAUUCUAUAUUUAAUGUCAAUUAUGCACUUUAUUUUAAUGUUUGAUAUUUAUUCACACUUGUAUAAUUUUUAUUUAUUCUUAUUUCAUCUUUAUUUAUUUUCAAGUCUAUUUAUAUUUAUGUUUUUUUUACACAUUCUCCUUACAUACAUUUUAAUAUUAUUUGUUUAUGUUACUUUGAUUCUUUUAUUGUAUUAUGAAUAAGGUGUAUUAUUGUUAUUAUUAUCAUUAUCAUGUCAAGGUCUUAUUUGUUUAAUUUAUUUAAGUUUUCUUUUUAUUAUUGCCCUUUUUGAAAGAGUUUUAACUUUUGAAACUUUAGGUCAUUUUUUCUUCCUAUAAAUGUUGAAAUGAAGUUAGUUAAGUAGAUGUUACAUUUUAAUGAAACCAUAAGGUUUUUACAUUUGAAUUUAUGCUAGUCUUUAAGAUCUUAUCUACCAUUUACCCUAGAAAAAUUAAAAAUAAUAUGUAGGAUUAUUUUAGGGUUUUAAACUAAUUUUAAAUAUCGUAUAGGAUUCCUCUUUAGAAUCUUAAAUUAAUGUGUAAAUAUUUUUUAGAACUUUGAUUAAGAUUAAAACUGAAGAUUUUUGUUGGUGAAUUGUAAAUCAUGAGUAUGUCUUUCUAAGUAUUUUAUUUUAGAAACUUUUUAAGAAAGCUAAUAAAUGUUAUUUAAUAUAUAUUAUUUUAGGAUUUUGAUGAAUUUAAAUCUUAGAUUAAGAAUUUUAAGGUAAGAUAAAUCAUAAACCCGAUAUAGGAUCGAUGAUUUUACAACAUUGAGAGGUAAACAUGAGAUUAUGCGCAAUUCAAAUUGGAAAGAUGGGAGCAUUCCCUAGAAUGACUUUUGUGAUGAAAUUAACCAUAUUUCGAAAUGAUAAAUGGCAUCCUUUUGUUCUUCCCCGUCACUUGGAGAAAAUCAAAUCCUUUGCUACCCUAUUUUGAGCCUUAUGUAUUUUCUUUCUGAACCCUAAUUAAAGUCAUCCAUCGAACAUCAUGGAUUGACAAGAAAGAUCAUGAGAAAUGAAAACAAAAUUCUUAAUUCUUAAUCUCAUUUCCAAAAAAUAUGUGUAUAUAUAUAUAUAAAAGAAAUAGAGAAAGCGAAUAAGAAACAAAAAAAAGAAAGGAAAUAGAAAAGAGUAAGAAUUAAAAAAAAGUGCUUGGGAGAUGGAAGGAGCAAUAAAAAGUUCAAAAUAACUCAUCAUGGUUUUUAUACUAUUUCACAUAAUAUUUAUAUUUUAGCCUAGAAAACCUUUCCCUAAUUGACCCUUAACCUUUAGACCAUGUUACAACCCUUAAAAGACCAUUUUGACCGAAUAUAUUUGUUCAAAUCAAGAAGUUAAUCUUUGGGAAAUUGUGACGUCUUCAAGAGCUUAAAAGGGAGAUGAAAUCGUGUGAAAACUUAGAAAUGAUAUGAGAUGCCCUGGAGGAUAAUGAAGAUUUUUAGAUGAAAUUGAUCCUUCAAUACGAAUCCUGAAGUCAUCUAUUUGAGCCUAUUUUAGCCUUUUCUUUGGCACCCAAACUCGAGCUGACACUAUAACCUUGGAACAAGUCCAUCUCUGAUUGCUCAUAGCCAGUUUAAAUAAGGGAAUUAAUCUACAUGGAGAAUGUAAGAGUCUAUAGAAAGAAGAUUUUGCCUAAAUAAAUAAAUAUAUAUAUAAAAGAAAACAAAAAGAAGAAAAAAAUAGAGAAAGAGAGAGAGAGAAAGGAACUACAAUAAAGAAUAUCUAUUUUAAGACGCAAUUUUGCAAAAGAGCAUGGUACAGGGUUCACAGUCAAAAUAAUCCAAAGUCAGGAAUAAGAAAUUCGACUUCAUGAGAAUUAACGAGUUGACUCUCAAUGCAAGAAAUUUAUGUUUUAAUCGUGGAUUAAUGAAAUCCAUAAUACCAAGUUUGUUAGGUGAAUUAUCAUUUAAGAAUUUAAUUUACGGUUCAUAAAAUUAUUUUGAAAUUUGUUAAGGUGAUAUUCCAUGAGAUUUGAUUUUCAUGAUCUAUUGUGUGUGGAUAGGGAUUUGAUCCUUUUCAACCUAAAAACAUGAUUCUCAAAAAGACGACCUUUUAUGAAAAAUUCAAGAAAGGAAGAAGGAAAGCAUUCAUUGCAUUUAGAGGCCCAACUGUGCAUGUCCAUUUACUUUUCAUUGCAUUUAAAGGCCCACGUGUGGAGGUCCAUUUACUUUUCAUUGCAUUGUAUAUGAAGGCAUAGGUGUGAGAUCUAUUUACAUUUCUUUUGCAUUCCCAUUUCAAAGAUUUGGUUGUGAGGUCUGAAUUUAUCUUGUUUCACUCUCCAUGUUUUGAUGGUUUGGCAUCUAUUUUUCUAGUUUUGGAAAACAUAACAUGUUUUGAUUUGUUUCGGUUUUGGUAAUUGUAAAAUAUGUUGUUCCUUAUACUGCGAUGUUGAGUGGCAUUUGAUAGUAGUUAGGUGUCUAUGUCUUUGUACAUUCCUUACUACGCAAGCCACGAACAAAGAGGCGCAGCUGUAGACACCUCUUUUUUCCAAACCUAAUUGGAGGCCAUUUGUUCUCUUUAAAUUUUUGUUCUCUCUUAGGCCAGUUUGAAGCCCAUUCGAUUUUGGUCAAUUUGAGGCCUUUGUUUUUCUUUUCUUUUUCUUUCCCUUUUGGGCCUGUCAAGGGCCCAUAUUAUUAUUAUUAUUAUUAUUAUUAUUAUUAUUAUCAUUACUACUACUAUUAUUAUUAUUAUUAAAUAUCAUUAUCAUCUUUUUUUACAAAUAAACAAGAUUGAAAAACAAUAUAUAUAUACAUGAAAUGAAAGAAAAAAAAAAGGAGGCGACUUUUCAUAUUCUGCUUUCAAUCAUGCUAUUUCUUUUUCUUUUUCUUUUCUUUUCUUUUUACAUAGACAUGUCAUGAUGGAUUGGGUUUUGGGCUCCUAUGAAGGGGACGUCACUGGACCGUCGAUCCUUCGGCAAUAGGAGCCUUAAAAAUCCAUUUUUUAUACCUUUCCCUUUUUAAAAAAUAAAAGUUUUUUUUUAAAACAAAGCUUGAUUAUAGGAAAAGUUUUGAUUUUUUUAAAAAAAGAGAGUUUGUAUUUUUAAAAUAAAAAUAUGAUUGUUAGUCAUAUUAAAGGAAAAGCUUAAAUUUUUAAAAGAAAGUUUUGAUUUUUUUAACUAUUUCAAAAAAAAGCUUUGAUUUUUAAGAAAAAUAGUGAUUUUUUUUAAAAGAGAAAGUUUAUAUUUUUAAAAUAAAAAUUUAUUUUUUAAGUCAUUUUAAAGGAAAAGUUUAAAAUUUUUAAAACAAAGUUUUGAUAUUUUUCAACUAUUGCAAAAUAAAACUUUGAUUUUUAAGAAAAGUAGUGAUUUUUUUAAAGAAAACUUUGAUUUUGUUAAAAAAAAAAGGGGCCAUUGUAUAUGGUGGCUCCACCACCGAAGGCCAGAGAGCCGUUGGGCUCUCUAGUGGCAAAGCCAUGGCCAACAUAGAAAGAGGAAGAGAAGGAGGAAGAGGUUUUUUUUUUUUAAAUGAGGUUAAAAAUGAAAGAAUAAGUAGAUUUCUCCAAUUUAUAGGUGCCAAAAUGAUAAUUUAUUCCCAACUCAUUACUUUUUAAAUUUACAAAAAAAUACCCCAUUUUUUGCAGCACACUCUCUGACCUAUUUACACCCGUAACCCUUUUGUUUAUUCAAGCCUUCGAUUUAAUCUAAAAUUUUAAAAUUAAAAGAAAAUUAAUUAUUACAUCAGUCCUUUGUUUUCCACAUUUUUUAUUAUUGCCUUUUUGAAAGAGUUUUAACUUUUCAUUAACUUUAGCCAAUUUAAUUAAUUUUCCUAUUUUAUUACUAUUUGUUUUUAAAGAGGAAACUUUAGGUUAUUUUUCCAUCAUAUAAAUGUUGACAUGAAGCUAGUUAAGUAGAUGUUACAUUUUAAUGAAAUCAUAAGGUUUUGAUAUUUGAAUUUAGGUUAGCCUUUAAGAUCUUAUCUACCAUUUACCCUAGAAAAAUUAAAAGUAAUAUGUAGGAUUGCUUUUAGGAUUUUAAACUAAUUUUAAAUAUCAUAUAGGAUUCCUCUUUAGAAUCUUAAAUUAAUGUGUAAAUAUUCUUUAGAACUUUGUUCAAGAUUAAAACUAAAGAUUUUUGUAGGUGAAUUGUAAAUCAUGGGUAGGUCUUUCUAAGUAUUUUAUUUUAGAAACUUUUUGAGAAAACUAAUAAAUGCUAUUUAAGAUAUAUUAUUUUAGAAUUUUGACGAAUUUAAACAUUAGAUCAAGAAUUUUAAAGUAAGAUAAAUCAUAAACCCGACAUAGGAUACUUACAUAAGAUCUUCAUAGGUUCCAAGUUAUUAAUUAAAUCUUUUAAAAAAUAAUAAUAAUAAAAGAUCAAAUAAGUUGUAGAUAGAUUUUAAUAUUUCUCUAAAUUCAUUGGUAAUUUCUAGGUUUUUUUUUAGAAUUCUAAAAUAGAAUUAAUUUUAGGAAUUGAAGGUAUUUUUGUAACGUCCUAAAUUAGGGCCUAGUCGAAAUAGUGGUUUCGAGACCAUAAAUCCGAAGUGGAAAUAUUUAUUUUAUAAUUAUUAUAAAUUCUAUGAUAUGUUUCUAUGCUUGUGUGAAAAUUCCAUGAGGAAAUUUUAUGUGAAAAGUGUCUAAUUGAACUUUAGGGACUAAAUCGAAUAAUUUGUAAAACUUGUUUUCUAGAAGCAUUUUGCAUGAAAUUGAAUUGGAUUAUUUAUUAUAGGUCCUUAAUGAGUAAUUUGACCAAGUUCUAAAAAUUUUGGACAAAAAUGGGCUUGGAAGGGUAAAUUUUGAAAGAAUAGUAAAAAAGGCAUUUUGGUCAUUUAGGGGUAAAAUGAACUAAAAGACAAAAUUAAAAACCAAAUGUGUCCAUCUUCUUCCUAAGGGCCGAAAUUCUCAUGAAAACCACCAUGGCUAGGGUUUCUAAGCUUCCAAGCUCAAUAUUAAGUGCCUUCAAACCUCGUUUUUAAUGUUCUAAGCAUUUUUGAAGUCCUGGUAGCAUGAUCUAUCUAUUUCUACCAUUAUUUUGAGCUAUAGUUCAUGUUUAAAAAUUUACCCAUGCAUGACAUGUUAGUAUUUUGAUGUUUAAUGGUAGAAUAUGAAAGAUUGGGGUGUGUUUAACAUCUUUUACUAAGUGUUUUUUCAUGAAAAAGCCUAAAAAGGACUAAAUUGAAAAAGGUGUAAAAUGGGUAACUAAAAAUCUAUUUUAAUGAGAAAUAUGGGCUACCAUAAGCUUGACUAUGGUUCGGCUAGGCUUGGGUAACCAAGAAAUUGAACACAUUUCAUUUUACGAGCCUAGGGACCAAAGUGUAAAUAUGUGAAAAUUUAUGAGUCAAAAAGAAAAUUUGUAAAAAAAAUGAUUUUUGGACCCAUAUGAAUAAUGUGACUAAUUAGUAAGCUAAAUGUGAUACAAUAGAUCAAGGAAAAUAAGAUUCGGGCUUAGAACGAGGUUGAACAAGGUUAUGGACUAAUUUGGAAUAAGUAGUUGUAAUCGAACCCGAGGUAAGUUCAUAUGAUGAAAUAACCAAGUUGUUAAUGUUAUUGUUGUUCAUGGAUGAAAUCUAAAUUGGUAUGUUAAUCUAGUUGUGAUGAAUUGAUUAGAAUAUGAAAAAGUGAAAUGAAAUGAAAGCUUUUACUAUGAUGAGUAUAAAUACUUAAUGUAAUGUUGUACCAUGUGUUUAACGCUUAAAUUUUAUUAUGGAAUGUGCUUUGAUUAUCCCAUGAAUAUGUGGUUGAUGCUAUGAAUGGGCAAUUGGUACUAUUGUCAGCCUGAAUGACAUAUGGCCAUUAAAUACGACAUCACGAGCAAGUAUUCCAUGUGCAAGUGAGAAAGAAUCUCGUUUGAACCUUAGGAAUAGUUUAGGAUACAAGUGACAUCCCACUAGGAAUUAAGCAAUCCGAGCUCGUUUAGCUGUCCGAGCUCGUGAUAUGUAUGAGAUUCCAAACUUGUUGAGUGGUCCAAGUUCGUGAGAUAAGUGGCAUCCAAGCUCGUUGAGUGGUCCGAGUUCAAUGUGUAUGCGAUGCCUGUGACUGAGUUCCGGGCAACAGUCUUGAGUGUUCUACAGGUGGCUAGGUAAUCCUUGAGUGGUCGGAUACCUAUCAGCUUUUGUGAGUAGCCCGUGUAGUUACACCUAGAUCGGUUACUAUAUGUGUAACGUUCCAUGUAUCCAAUAGUAUUCUAAGUGUUCAACGGGUAUUGAUAUGUAAUGAAUGUGAUGAAGUCCCGAGAAGGGCAUGCUAAGAGGUAUGGUUAUGUGAUAUACUACGAUGAGCACAUGUAUGUACGCUAAAUUCAUGAGUAAUAGUUCGAUGAAUGAUGACUUUAGAUGAGGAAGCAUAUGUAUGUGUAUAUAUAUGAUAAACAAGUGAAAAGAGUUGAAUGGUGAACCAUCCUUAUGCCUAUGAUUAUGAAAUUUGUUGCAAUAUCAUGUUAACUUACAUUGUGUAAUUGAAUAAGGGAUCCAUGAAAUAAUGAGUCCAUGAUAGAUGUGACAAUGAACUUAGGUUAGUUAUUAUGAAUUUGCACUAUAACAGUGUUGGACAGCAGCACUUAUGUGAUUUUGAAAAUCUACCAAAAAUUGUGGAAUUUGAAUUAGAAACUGAAUAUGAUAUGAGAUAAAAGCUUAUUGAGUCUAGUUUCACAUAGAGGAAAUGAUGUAAGCAAAAUAUUUUUAUACUAUGAGAUAUUUGAAAUUUUGUGAGAUAGAGUCAGGGUGAUUUCGGGCUCCCCUGUUGAACUUUGGAAAAUUACUAGAAAUUGAAAAAAAAUAAUUAUGGGUUAAAAUUUAUAUGAAUAAGCUCUUAAUAAGUCUAUUUUAUGCACAUAUAAUAGGGGACACUUUAAAGAAUAAACUUUACUUAUUGGCUAGACCACAAAUUCUUGAAAUUUUAUGGUAAGAAGAUAUAUGAGUCUAGUUUUAGGGAAAAUUUACGGAUCUUAAUUUGGAGUUUCAUAGCUCCAGAUAUAAAUAAAUUAGUAACUAUGACUUGAGAAAACAGCAUGACCAAAAAAUAAGUAAAAGUGUAAUUAUGAUUAUAUCUCCGUGGAAUCAUGUUGAUAAUUUGCUUAUUAUUUUCAUAUGAACUUACUAAGCUUUAAGCUUACUCCCUCCUCUCCAUUUCUUUAGUGUUGUUAGGUCAGCUCGGGGUUGGAGAUCGUCAUAGGCAGCAUCACACUAUGAAGCCAUCCCCUAUGGAUUGUUAACAUGUAUAAGUUAAGCAUACACAAGUGAGUGGCAUGUAUAGAGACUUAGUCUUUCGAUAUAUGUGUUUCAUGAAUUGGCCAAAUGUAUUGACUUAUAAUGAUUCAAUUGUAUAUAGCCAUGAGAUGUGGCUUAUAUUGAUUAAUGGGUUGUAACCCUAUUAUAUGUGCAUGCACAAGCUUAAAAAUUUCAUGUGAUGUGAGUAUGUGACUUGCUAUGGUGUGCAAUG